GACGAACGCUGGCGGCGUGCUUAACACAUGCAAGUCGAACGGAAAGGCCCUGCUUUUGUGGGGUGCUCGAGUGGCGAACGGGUGAGUAACACGUGAGUAACCUGCCCUUGACUUUGGGAUAACUUCAGGAAACUGGGGCUAAUACCGGAUAGGAGCUCCUGCUGCAUGGUGGGGGUUAGAAAGUUUCGGCGGUUGGGGAUGGACUCGAGGCUUAUCAGCUUGUUGGUGGGGUAGUGGCUUACCAAGGCUUUGACGGGUAGCCGGCCUGAGAGGGUGACCGGCCACAUUGGGACCGAGCAACGGCACAGACUGCUACGGGAGGCAGCAGUGGGGAAUAUUGCACAAUGGGCUGAAGCCUGAUGCAGCAACGCCGCGUGCGGGAUGACGGCCUUCGGGUUGUAAACCGCUUUCGCCUGUGACGAAGCGUGAGUGACGGUAAUGGGUAAAGAAGCACCGGCUAACUACGUG
rnacentral:rRNA from 1 species